AUGCUACUGCUACUACAAAACUGGCACCGAACGCGUGAACGAGGGUCAGGAGAGUGGAGAAUGGCGGCUGACCUCCAGCAGACGCCGGCGUGGUUCCUCUGGCUGGCCGUCCUCGGCGCCCUCCACGUCGCGGUGCUCUCGUCUCGCCUCCUCGUCCACCUCGCCCACUGCGUGCGCCGACCCAAGGACCUCCGCCGGUACUACGGAACGUGGGCCGUGGUCACCGGCCCGACGUCCGGCAUCGGCCGGUCCGUCGCCCUGGAGCUCGCCCGCCGGGGCCUCGACCUCGUCCUCGUCGGUAUCGACGCCGCGGACCUCCGGGAGGUCUCCGACGCGGUCAUGUCCCGUCACGCCGUGCAGACCAGGACCGUGGUGUUCGACCUCUCGCUCGUCUCCACCCCCCCAAGGUACCACGUAGUUUACACAGGUUUGGGGUAUAUCGGAGCGCAUGGCGACGGCCUGCAGGCACUUGAUGAUCCUCUCGGCCGGCGGCGUGCAGGCGACGAGGCGCUGCGGCGGCUCCGGGACGUCGUGGAGGGGCUGGACGUGGGCGUCCUCGUGAACAACGCCGGGGUGAUGAACCCGGGCGCGGCGUUCCUGCACGAGGCGGACGCGGAGGCACUGAUACGCAUGAUCCGCGUGAACCUGUGGGCGACGACGGUGGUGACGGCGGCGGUGAUCCCGGGCAUGGCGGCGCGGGGCAGGGGCGCCGUGGUCAGCAUGGGGUCGGCGACGUCGGAGGCCGUCUCCUCCUUCCCGCUCCACGCCGUCUACUCCGGCACCAAGCGGUACGUCGCGGUGCUCUCCGGGGGCCUCGCCGCCGAGUACGGGGGCAGAGGGGUCGACGUGCAGUGCCAGGCGCCGAUGUUCGUGGCGACGGCGAUGGUCGCGGCCUUCUCGGCGCUCUGGCGCCCCGCGCCGCUGGUGCCCACCGCCGACGCCUACGCGCGCGCGGCGGUGCGCUGGGUCGGGCGCGGCGGCCCGCUCUGCGUGCCCAGCCUCCGGCACCGGCUGCUGUGGUGCCUUCUUGACGUCGUGCCCGGCUGCGUGCAGGACUGGGCCUGCCUGCGCGAGGGCCUGCGGCAGAGGAAGACGUCCCGGAGCCGGCGAUCGUCGACGGCGUCGGCGUGCCAUGCCAGCAACUGA
rnacentral:rRNA from 1 species